rnacentral:rRNA from 1 species
AGCGAACGCUGGCGGCAGGCUUAACACAUGCAAGUCGAACGGGCAUAGCAAUAUGUCAGUGGCAGAUGGGUGAGUAACGCGUGGGAACGUACCUUUUGGUUCGGAACAACACAGGGAAACUUGUGCUAAUACCGGAUAAGCCCUUACGGGGAAAGAUUUAUCUCCGAAAGAUCGGCCCGCGUCUGAUUAGCUAGUUGGUAGGGUAAUGGCCUACCAAGGAGACGAUCAGUAGCUGGUCUGAGAGGAUGAUCAGCCACAUUGGGACUGAGACACGGCCCAAACUCGUACGGAAGGGAGCAGUGGGUAAUAUUGGAGAAUGAGCGAAGGCCUGAUCCAGCCAUGCGGCGUAAGUGAUGAAGGGCGUAGGGUUGUAAAGCUCUUUUGGGCGAGAAGAUAAUGACGGUACCGCAAGAAUAAGCCCCGGCUAACUUCGUG